CUGGCUCAGGAUGAACGCUGGCGGCGCGCUUAACACAUGCAAGUCGAACGGUUAAAGCACCUCCGGGUGUGCAUAGAGUGGCGAACGGCUGAGUAACACGUGGGCAACCUGCCCCCCGCACCGGGAUAGCCUCGGGAAACCGUGGGUAAUACCGGAUACUCCGCCCACCCCGCAUGGGGAGGGCGGGAAAGCGGACACGGCGGGGGAUGGGCCCGCGGCCUGUUAGCUCGUUGCGGGUAACGGCCACCAAGGCGAUUAUGGGUAGCCGGGUUGAGAGACCGACCGGCCAGAUUGGGACUGAGACACGGCCCAGACUCCUACGGGAGGCAGCAGUGGGGAAUCUUGCACAAUGGGCGAAAGCCUGAUGCCAGCGACGCCGCGUGCGGGAAGAAGGCCCUCGGGUUGUAAACCGCUUUCAGCAGGGACGAAGGCGCGAGUGACGGUACCUGCAGAAGAAGCCCCGGCUAACUACGUGCCAGCCGCUGC
rnacentral:rRNA from 1 species